rnacentral:rRNA from 1 species
GACGAACGCUGGCGGCGUGCUUAACACAUGCAAGUCGAACGGAAAGGCCCUGCUUUUGUGGGGUGCUCGAUUGGCGAACGGGUGAGUAACACGUGAGUAACCUGCCCUUGACUUUGGGAUAACUUCAGGAAACUGGGGCUAAUACCGGAUAGGAGCUCCUGCUGCAUGGUGGGGGUUGGAAAGUUUCGGCGGUUGGGGAUGGACUCGCGGCUUAUCAGCUUGUUGGUGGGGUAGUGGCUUACCAAGGCUUUGACGGGUAGCCGGCCUGAGAGGGUGACCGGCCACAUUGGGACUGAGAUACGGCCCAGACUCCUACGGGAGGCAGCAGUGGGGAAUAUUGCACAAUGGGCGGAAGCCUGAUGCAGCAACGCCGCGUGCGGGAUGACGGCCUUCGGGUUGUAAACCGCUUUCGCCUGUGACGAAGCGUGAGUGACGGUAAUGGGUAAAGAAGCAACGGCUAACUACGUG